AUGGUUAUUACCUGGGAAUAUGAUCCUCUGUUCGUCGUCGUUCCCGACGACAACCAGAGUCUGAGGGGCUACUAUCUACACAGGGCACACCUAGCAUGUGCAGGACUAUCAUACAUUAUUUUACGUACCUCAAAGCCUGUCAGUAGACUCAUAAAAGCUUCAUGCAAUCCGCUUUCGGCGGAUGAGAUUCUCUCCAUCACCGUAUUCAUCAGCACACGGUGUUCAUCUGAGAUGGCCGCUCGCCCCACCAACUCCCUCAGAAUAUCCGAUCGCACACCAGAGGUGCCGGACUCUUUUGUCCGCUCUCUUUGGGAGCCGGACACUGGGAGCUUCGGGGGUCAAUGGGAUUAUCUUCUGGCCUCACCGGACUUGGAGAGGCCCUCCGCGACGACACUUCGGGGUCGCCCACUUCCGGAGCGGAGGAGUCCGGAGGAGGCGUUUCGCUCUCCAUCAUCUCUGGAAGAAGAUCCCCCGAAGACGAGCUCAUUUGAGAGGGGCUAA
rnacentral:rRNA from 1 species